rnacentral:rRNA from 1 species
UACGAAGGGGGCUAGCGUUGCUCGGAUUGACUGGGCGUAAAGGGCGCGUAGGCGGCUAGUACAGUCAGGCGUGAAAUUCCUGGGCUCAACCUGGGGGCUGCGUUUGAUACGUGUUGUCUGGAGUUCGGAAGAGGGUCGUGGAAUUCCCAGUGUAGAGGUGAAAUUCGUAGAUAUUGGGAAGAACACCGGUGGCGAAGGCGGCGACCUGGUCCGAUACUGACGCUGAGGCGCGAAAGCGUGGGGAGCAAACAGG